rnacentral:rRNA from 1 species
AACGAACGCUGGCGGCAUGCCUAACACAUGCAAGUCGAACGAUGCCUUCGGGCAUAGUGGCGCACGGGUGCGUAACGCGUGGGAAUCUGCCUUUCGGUUCGGAAUAACUCAGGGAAACUUGAGCUAAUACCGGAUAACGUCGCAAGACCAAAGAUUUAUCACCGAAAGAUGAGCCCGCGUAGGAUUAGCUAGUUGGUGAGGUAAAGGCUCACCAAGGCGACGAUCCUUAGCUGGUCUGAGAGGAUGAUCAGCCACACUGGGACUGAGACACGGCCCAGACUCCUACGGGAGGCAGCAGUGGGGAAUAUUGGACAAUGGGCGAAAGCCUGAUCAGCAAUGCCGCGUGAGUGAUGAAGGCCUUAGGGUUGUAAAGCUCUUUUACCCGGGAAGAUAAUGACGGUACCGGGAGAAUAAGCCCCGGCUAACUCCGUG